rnacentral:rRNA from 1 species
AUUGAACGCUGGCGGCAUGCCUUACACAUGCAAGUCGAACGGUAACGGGCCUUCGGGUGCCGACGAGUGGCGAACGGGUGAGUAAUACAUCGGAACGUGCCCGAUCGUGGGGGAUAACGAGGCGAAAGCUUUGCUAAUACCGCAUACGAUCUACGGAUGAAAGCAGGGGACCGCAAGGCCUUGCGCGGACGGAGCGGCCGAUGGCAGAUUAGGUAGUUGGUGGGAUAAAAGCUUACCAAGCCGACGAUCUGUAGCUGGUCUGAGAGGAUGAUCAGCCACACUGGGACUGAGACACGGCCCAGACUCCUACGGGAGGCAGCAGUGGGGAAUUUUGGACAAUGGGCGCAAGCCUGAUCCAGCCAUGCCGCGUGCAGGAUGAAGGCCUUCGGGUUGUAAACUGCUUUUGUACGGAACGAAAAGCCUUCUUUUAAUACAGGAGGGUCAUGACGGGACCGUAAGAAUAAGCACCGGCUAACUACG